UACAGAGGUCCCGAGCGUUGUCCGAAGUUACUGGGCGUAAAGCGCGCGUAGGCGGUCUCUUAAGUCCGGGGUGAAAGGUUCAGCGCUCAACGCGAACAGUGCCCUGGAGACUGGGGGGACUUGAGUGCGGUAGGGGAGAUUGGAAUUCCUGGUGCAGCGGUGGAAUGCGCAGAUAUCAGGAGGAACACCAAUGGCGAAGGCAGAUCUCUGGGCCGUAACUGACGCUGAGGAGCGAAAGCGUGGGGAGCAAACAGG
rnacentral:rRNA from 1 species